UCACCCGUCUACUCCGGAGGAGAUAUAAGUAUUUGUACCGCGUAGUACGUAGGUUCGAAUCCUACGCGAGACGU
rnacentral:tRNA from 2 species